AGAGUUUGAUCAUGGCUCAGGACGAACGCUGGCGGCGUGCUUAACACAUGCAAGUGGAGCGACGAACCAGGCUUCGGCCUGGGGCAGAGCCGCGAACGGGUGAGUAACACGUGGGUAACCUGCCCUAAUGACUGGGACAACCCGGGGAAACUCGGGCUAAUACCGGAUGUGCUGCUCCCACACCAGUGGGAGUAGGAAAGGAAGCUUCGGCCUCCGCAUUAGGAUGGGCCCGCGGCCCAUUAGCUUGUUGGUGAGGUAACGGCUCACCAAGGCUUCGAUGGGUAGCUGGUCUGAGAGGACGAUCAGCCACACUGGGACUGAGACACGGCCCAGACUCCUACGGGAGGCAGCAGUGGGGAAUCUUGCGCAAUGCGCGAAAGCGUGACGCAGCAACGCCGCGUGGGGGAAGACGGCCUUCGGGUUGUAAACCCCUUUCAGGAGGGACGAAGCCCAAGCGGUGAAUAGCCGCCUUGGGUGACGGUACCUCCAGAGGAAGCCCCGGCUAACUACGUGCCAGCAGCCGCGGUA
rnacentral:rRNA from 1 species